rnacentral:rRNA from 1 species
GCAAGUCGAACGAGAACGCACCUUUGGGUGUUAUUAGAGUGGCAAACGGGUGAGUAACACGUGGGAACGUACCUUUCAGUCUGGAAUAGCCCUGGGAAACUGGGAUUAAUGCCGGAUAUUCUCUACGGAGGAAAGAUUUAUCGCUGAAAGAUCGGCCCGCGUUAGAUUAGCUAGUUGGUAAGGUAAUGGCUUACCAAGGCUACGAUCUAUAGCUGGUCUGAGAGGAUGAUC